AACCCACAGGGAUUGCCCCAGUAGCGGCGAGUAAGCGGCAAGAGCUCAGAUUUGAAAUCGUGCUAAUUUUUUUGGCACGAGUUGUAGAGUGUAGGCGGAGUCUUUGUGGAGCACGGUGUCCAAGUCCCUUGGAACAGGGCGCCUGAGAGGGUGAGAGCCCCGUGGGGUGGUGCGAAGCUUUGAGGCCCUGCUGACGAGUCGAGUUGUUUGGGAAUGCAGCUCCAAGUGGGUGGUAAAUUCCAUCUAAGGCUAAAUACUGGCGAGAGACCGAUAGCGAACAAGUACUGUGAAGGAAAGAUGAAAAGCACUUUGAAAAGAGAGUGAAACAGCACGUGAAAUUGUUGAAAGGGAAGGGUAUUGGGCCCGACAUGGGGAGUGCGCACCGCUGUCUCUUGUAGGCGGCGCUCUGGGCGCUCUCUGGGCCAGCAUCGGUUCUUGCUGCGGGAGAAUGGGUGCCGGAAAGUGGCUCUUCGGAGUGUUAUAGCCGGCGCCAGAUACCGCGUGCGGGGACCGAGGACUGCGGCUUCUGUCUCGGAUGCUG
rnacentral:rRNA from 1 species